AUUGAACGCUGGCGGCAGGCCUAACACAUGCAAGUCGAACGAGUGGCGGACGGGUGAGUAAUGUCUGGGAAACUGCCUGAUGGAGGGGGAUAACUACUGGAAACGGUAGCUAAUACCGCAUACCAUCGGAUGUGCCCAGAUGGGAUUAGCUAGGAGGUGGGGUAGUGGCUCACCUAGGCGACGAUCCCUAGCUGGUCUGAGAGGAUGAACAGCGACACUGGAACGUGGACACGGUCCAGACUCCUACGGGAGGCAGCAGUGGGGAAUAUUGCACAAUGGGCGCAAGCCUGAUGCAGCCAUGCCGCGUGUAUGAAGAAGGCUGUCGGGUUGUAAAGUACUUUCAGCGGGGAGGCGUUACCCGCAGAAGAAGCACCGGCUAACUCCGUGCCAGCAGCCGCGGUAAUUC
rnacentral:rRNA from 1 species